AACGAACGCUUGNUGCAUGCUUUAUACAUGCAAGUCGAACGGAGGCCCUAGCUUGCUAGGUGUCCUUAGUGGCGCACGGGUGAGUAACACGUGGGAACAUACCUCAUAGUACGGAAUAACUGCGGGAAACUGUAGCUAAUACCGUAUAUUCCAGUAAUGGGAAAGAUUUAUCGCUAUGAGAUUGGCCCGCGCAAGAUUAGCUUGUUGGUGAGGUAAUGGCUCACCAAGGCUCCGAUCUUUAGCUGGUUUGAGAGGACGAUCAGCCACACUGGGACUGAGACACGGCCCAGACUCCUACGGGAGGCAGCAGUAGGGAAUAUUGGACAAUGGGGGAAACCCUGAUCCAGCAAUGCAGCGUGAGUGACGAAGGCCUUAGGGUUGUAAAACUCUUUCAUCGGUGAGGAUAAUGACAGUAGCCGAAGAAGAAGGACCGGCUAAUUCCGUG
rnacentral:rRNA from 1 species